rfam:Acidovorax sp. 12322-1 scaffold3_Contig_0, whole genome shotgun sequence.
AUACGUUCUCAGGGCGGGGUGCAAUUCCCCACCGGCGGUAAGCAGCCCUGACUGCAAGCCCGCGAGCGCCUGGAUGGCUCCAGCCAUGCAGGGUCAGCAGAUCUGGUGUAACUCCAGAGCCGACGGUCAAAGUCCGGAUGAAAGAGCAACGUGA